rnacentral:rRNA from 1 species
CGCUAUCACUCCUACGGGGAGGCAGCAGUGGGGGAAUAUUGGGACAAUGGGGGCAACCCUGAUCCAGCCAUGCCGCGUGUGUGAAGAAGGCCUUUGGUUGUAAAGCACUUUAAGCAGGGAGGAGAGGCUAAUGGUUAAUACCCAUUAGAUUAGACGUUACCUGCAGAAUAAGCACCGGCUAACUCUGUGCCAGCAGCCGCGGUAAUACAGAGGGUGCGAGCGUUAAUCGGAAUUACUGGGCGUAAAGCGAGUGUAGGUGGCUCAUUAAGUCACAUGUGAAAUCCCCGGGGCUUAACCUGGGAACUGCAUGUGAUACUGGUGGUGCUAGAAUAUGUGAGAGGGAAGUAGAAUUCCAGGUGUAGCGGUGAAAUGCGUAGAGAUCUGGAGGAAUACCGAUGGCGAAGGCAGCUUCCUGGCAUAAUAUUGACACUGAGAUUCGAAAGCGUGGGUAGCAAACAGGAUUAGAUACCCUGGUAG